rnacentral:rRNA from 1 species
UACGGGGGGAGCAAGCGUUGUUCGGAUUUACUGGGCGUAAAGAGCGCGCAGGCGGUCGUUCAAGUCGGAUGUGAAAUCCCCAGGCUCAACCUGGGAACUGCAUCCGAUACUGGAUGGCUUGAAUCCGGGAGAGGGAUGCAGAAUUCCAGGUGUAGCGGUGAAAUGCGUAGAUAUCUGGAGGAAUACCGGUGGCGAAGGCGGCAUCCUGGACCGGCAUUGACGCUGAGGAGCGAAAGCUAGGGGAGCAAACGGG